UGCCAGCCGCCGCGGUAAUACGGAGGGUGCAAGCGUUGUUCGGAAUUAUUGGGCGUAAAGCGCGUGUAGGCGGUUCGUUAAGUCUGAUGUGAAAGCCCUGGGCUCAACCUGGGAACUGCAUGGGAUACUGGCAUUCUAGAAUACAGUAGAGGGAGGUGGAAUUUCAGGUGUAGCGGUGAAAUUCGUAGAUAUUGGGAAGAACACCAGUGGCGAAGGCGGCUAACUGGCUCGGUACUGACGCUGAGAUGCGAAAGCGUGGGGAGCAAACAGGAUUAGAUA
rnacentral:rRNA from 1 species